rnacentral:rRNA from 1 species
GACGAACGCUGGCGGCGUGCUUAACACAUGCAAGUCGAACGGAAAGGCCCUGCUUUUGUGGGGUGCUCGAGUGGCGAACGGGUGAGUAACACGUGAGUAACCUGCCCUUGACUUUGGGAUAACUUCAGGAAACUGGGGCUAAUACCGGAUAGGAGCUCCUGCUGCAUGGUGGGGGUUGGAAAGUUUCGGCGGUUGGGGAUGGACUCGCGGCUUAUCAGCUUGUUGGUGGGGUAGUGGCUUACCAAGGCUUUGACGGGUAGCCGGCCUGAGAGGGUGACCGGCCACAUUGGGACUGAGAUACGGCUCAGACUCCUACGGGAGGCAGCAGUGGGGAAUAUUGCACAAUGGGCGGAAGCCUGAUGCAGCAACGCCGCGUGCGGGAUGACGGCCUUCGGGUUGUAAACCGCUUUCGCCUGUGACGAAGCGUGAGUGACGGUAAUGGGUAAAGAAGCACCGGCUAACUACGUGCCAGCAGCCGCGGUGAUACGUAGGGUGCGAGCGUUGUCCGGAUUUAUUGGGCGUAAAGGGCUCGUAGGUGGUUGAUCGCGUCGGAAGUGUAAUCUUGGGGCUUAACCCUGAGCGUGCUUUCGAUACGGGUUGACUUGAGGAAGGUAGGGGAGAAUGGAAUUCCUGGUGGAGCGGUGGAAUGCGCAGACAUCAGGAGGAACACCAGUGGCGAAGGCGGUUCUCUGGGCCUUUCCUGACGCUGAGGAGCGAAAGCGUGGGGAGCGAACAGGCUUAGAUACCCUGGUAGUCCACGCUGUAAACGGUGGGUACUAGGUGUGGGGUCCAUUCCACGGGUUCCGUGCCGUAGCUAACGCUUUAAGUACCCCGCCUGGGGAGUACGGCCGCAAGGCUAAAACUCAAAGGAAUUGACGGGGCCCCGCACAAGCGGCGGAGCAUGCGGAUUAAUUCGAUGCAACGCGUAGAACCUUACCUGGGUUUGACAUGGAUCGGGAGUGCUCAGAGAUGGGUGUGCCUCUUUUGGGGUCGGUUCACAGGUGGUGCAUGCCUGUCGUCAGCUCGUGUCGUGAGAUGUUGGGUUAAGUCCCGCAACGAGCGCAACCCUUGUUCACUGUUGCCAGCACGUUAUGGUGGGGACUCAGUGGAGACCGCCGGGGUCAACUCGGAGGAAGGUGGGGAUGACGUCAAGUCAUCAUGCCCCUUAUGUCCAGGGCUUCACGCAUGCUACAAUGGCUGGUACAGAGAGUGGCGAGCCUGUGAGGGUGAGCGAAUCUCGGAAAGCCGGUCUCAGUUCGGAUUGGGGUCUGCAACUCGACCUCAUGAAGUCGGAGUCGCUAGUAAUCGCAAAUCAGCAACGCUGCGGUGAAUACGUUCCCGGG